rnacentral:rRNA from 1 species
GACGAACGCUGGCGGCGUGCUUAACACAUGCAAGUCGAACGGAAAGGCCCUGCUUUUGUGGGGUGCUCGAGUGGCGAACGGGUGAGUAACACGUGAGUAACCUGCCCUUGACUUUGGGAUAACUUCAGGAAACUGGGGCUAAUACCGGAUAGGAGCUCCUGCUGCAUGGUGGGGGUUGGAAAGUUUCGGCGGUUGGGGAUGGACUCGCGGCUUAUCAGCUUGUUGGUGGGGUAGUGGCUUACCAAGGCUUUGACGGGUAGCCGGCCUGAGAGGGUGACCGGCCACAUUGGGACUGAGAGACGGCCCAGACUCCUACGGGCGGCAGCAGUGGGGAAUAUUGCACAAUGGGCGGAAGCCUGAUGCAGCAACGCCGCGUGCGGGAUGACGGCCUUCGGGUUGUAAACCGCUUUCGCCUGUGACGAAGCGUGAGUGACGGUAAUGGGUAAAGAAGCACCGGCUAACUACGUG